rnacentral:rRNA from 1 species
UACGUAGGUCCCGAGCGUUGUCCGGAUUUAUUGGGCGUAAAGCGAGCGCAGGUGGUUUAUUAAGUCUGGUGUAAAAGGCAGUGGCUCAACCAUUGUAUGCAUUGGAAACUGGUAGACUUGAGUGCAGGAGAGGUAAGCGGAAUUCCUAGUGUAGCGGUGAAAUGCGUAGAUAUUAGGAGGAACACCAGUGGCGAAGGCGGCUUACUGGACGGUGACUGACGCUGAGGCUCGAAAGCGUGGGGAGCAAACAGG